rnacentral:lncRNA from 1 species
CGCGCACUCCUGAGACUAGGAUUCGAGAUGUAUAUCUCGCCAAUCCUAGCUCUCGCCAUCAUCCAAGUUUAUCCACUUUGGUUUUCUCUCAAACACUCAUUCAAAUCUUUCUCAAACGUCCAUCAAUACUUGAUCUAGUGUCAAGUCAUUUUUCACAACAAAAACUCAAAAUACCUAAUUCUUAUUUAACACUCUUUCAAUAAAGGUGGAAAUGGAACAUGGUGUAUACCAUGC